rnacentral:lncRNA from 1 species
GAAGAAGAAGAAAUGUACUAGACAUGAUCUGGAGUGUAGCCACCUGCUAGCGGGCAUAAAACUUAGUACAAAUAUUUCACAAACAUUUGCCAUCAAUCAACAAAACACUCCUACACUUGAAACCAAGACCCAGUGGAAAGACUCCCACCCUGAACCACAUGCCAUACAGCAGCAGCGCUGUUUGUUAAUUUUGUAUCUUUAAAAUUAAAACAGCGGUGAUAUCAAACAAAUACUCUAGGAGUAUCUACACAAAAUACUCUACAACUUCAGUAUUCAAUGGAUAAUUCAAUUUUGCCAUCUACAAGUUCUAAAACAUCUGACAAGAUAACUGACUGAAUCUGUUUUAGACAACAGUAUGGUUAACUUUAAAAUUCGAUAUCUCCCAAACUACUGAACCAAAAAUUAUGAAAUUCUGCUGGAAGUAAGAACUUUUAUCCCUCUACAAAAGUCUCCAUAGUUGGAAGAGUCAAUUCGGCCAUUUACUAGAUGAAACCUACCGGUGAACAGACCCACUCAUUUUUGUCAGGCAAACAGGAACAGCCACAGUAAAACAAACAUAACUGGAGUUUCACAAAUCAUAUGAAUGCAAUCUUUAAUAAUCUGAAAAGCUUAUAAAAUUAUCUACAACUUCUUUUACCAACACACAGUUUAAUUCUGUUGAUAAAAUUGCCUAACUCUUAAGAGAACAGAUUCUGUACAGAAUUAUGAGACUGAAAAACUGCUAUAAUCAAACUGCCAUAACUUUCUGUUCUGAUGUCCGAUUGAGGUGUUCUUCACGGCCACGGAAAGAUCUACAAAUUAUCUACGACUCAUAUAUAGACUUUUUAUUUUUUUGAGGCCGCUAAGACCACGGAAAACUGGCAUGAACAGAAACUGUCGAAUCUGUCAUUCUGCAGAAAUUAAAUUCGAAAUCAAAACCUAACCCCACACCUAAUCCAACCUCUAAUCCUUCAAUCCACAUGAUCCAAAACCUCCAAAAGCACAUAAUUAUAGGGAGGAACAAGGAUCCCAUCCUUACCUAGGGUUUUCCCUAAGAAAAAUCUGCAAGAGAUGGGGGUAGCACAUCUCCUUGAUCCUCUCUUCCUCUUCAAUCCAUCUUGUUCCUCAUCUUCUCGAUCCUUGUUGCGUGGGGGGGGGAAGAUCUAGGGAGGAAGAAGUAUUGGAGGGCUGCUGCAAUGGGGGGAGAGGGGGCGGCCAGCCAAGGGGGAAAAGUGAGGCGGCCAAGAAAGGGG